rnacentral:rRNA from 1 species
UACGUAGGGUGCAGGCGUAAUCGGAAUUACUGGGCGUAAAGCGUGCGCAGGCGGUUUGCUAAGACAGGUGUGAAAUCCCCGGGCUUAACCUGGGAACUGCGCUUGUUACUGGCAGGCUUGAGUGUGGCAGAGGGGGGUGGAAUUCCACGUGGUAGCAGUGAAAUGCGUAGAGAUGUGGAGGAACACCGAUGGCGAAGGCAGCCCCCUGGGCUAACAC